GAGAGCUGUGGAGUGUGACAAUGGUGUUUGUGUCCAAUCUAUCAAACGCCAUUAUCACACUAAAUAGCUACUG
rnacentral:pre_miRNA from 1 species